AUUGAACGCUGGCGGCAGGCCUAACACAUGCAAGUCGAGCGGGGUUUUCGGACCUAGCGGCGGACGGGUGAGUAAUGCGUAGGAAGCUGCCCGAUAGAGGGGGAUACCAGUUGGAAACGACUGUUAAUACCGCAUAAUGUCUACGGACCAAAGUGUGGGACCUUCGGGCCACAUGCUAUCGGAUGCGCCUACGUGGGAUUAGCGAGUUGGUGAGGUAAUGGCUCACCAAGGCGACGAUCUCUAGCUGGCUUGAGAGGAUGAUCAGCCACACUGGAAAUGAGGAACGGUCCAGACUCCUACGGGGGGCAGCAGUGGGGAAUAUUGGGCAAUGGGCGCAAGCCUGAUCCAGCCAUGCCGCGUGUGUGAAGAAGGCCUUCGGGUUGUAAAGCACUUUCAGCGAGGAGGAAGGGGUGUGUGUUAAUAGUACACACCUUUGACGUUACUCGCAGAAGAAGCACCGGCUAACUCUGUGCCAGCCGCCGCCGUAAAAC
rnacentral:rRNA from 1 species